rnacentral:rRNA from 1 species
GAGCGGCAGGCGCAGCAAUGCGCUGAGAGCGGCGGACUGGUGAGUAACGCGUGGGUAAUCUACCUUUGGCAUGGGGAUAGCCACUAGAAAUAGUGGGUAAUACCGAAUACGUUCCCUGGGGGGAGGUUUCAGGGAAGAAAGGGUGCUACGGCACCGGCCGGAGAUGAGCUCGCGUCCCAUUAGCUUGUUGGUGAGGUAACGGCCCACCAAGGCGAUGAUGGGUAGCCGGCCUGAGAGGGUGUACGGCCACACUGGGACUGAGAUACGGCCCAGACUCCUACGGGAGGCAGCAGCUAAGAAUAUUCCGCAAUGGACGAAAGUCUGACGGAGCGACGCCGCGUGGAUGAUGAAGGCCGAAAGGUUGUAAAGUCCUUUUGCUGGGGAAGAAUAAGUGUGGGAGGGAAUGCCCGCAUGAUGACAUGAACCGGCGAAUAAGCCCCGGCCAACUACGUGCCAGCAGCCGCGGUAACACGUAGGGGGCGAGCGUUGUUCGGA